CGUGAGUUUAUUUUCUUUAUUAUUUGGUAGAUUCCAAAUUGCUCGUUCUUAAGGUUUUCGCUUGAAUUCCUUUUUUUCGCUGCGGCAGAAAAGAGUUUUUUGUCAUUACUUCCUGUUUCUUAAGAUCUCCCAAGUCUUUCAAUUUUCUUUUCAAUAGAGUAUGCUCAUGCUGCUUUUUCUCAAGUAAAGUCUCGACCACAUGCAUCUAUUCAAGAAUUUUCAGUUGCUUAUCAAGGAGAGAGAGUGUUUCCCCUCUGUACAUGCCAUUCAUGCUGUCUGCUUGAGGAAUCAGGUGGAUCCGCUGAGGUCGACUCAAUAGCACAAGAAUGCUUAUCUGUGCAAAUAAUAUAUUUAUGGUGAACAUUUAACAAACAAGGAAAGCAAUAGUGGUAUCAUGCCACGCAGUAGAAAAACCAGGCCAUACUAAUUCCACGAGUAAAAUUAAAUGCUAACGAUAAAAUACGAGGCUAGAGACUCAAUAUGAAUAGAACGACAACGCCCUUCAUCACAUGAUUCAAGCAUAUGAAUUGGAAACAGGCACGAUAUAUAUACAUGCAUUUGUACGGGCGUACAUAAAUCUUGGUAGACAUAUAUUAUAAAGAUGAUUUUAAGUGUACCUGCAUUAGAAGGAGAAUCAAAGCAACCUAAUGAGGACAUCAUCUAUUUUAUUUCUAGUUAGACUUUAUUUUUGUUUUGGAUUCUUAUUUAUAUAACCGGGCUUGUAUUGGCCCAAACCCGUUCUAAUUAGGGUUUUGUUUUUCUACUAUUUAAACCUAAUUUGCUAUGUAAUUUUAGUAGUUGAUGAUUGAAUAAAAUUAUUGUGGUGGCUUGUGGCAAUUUUUUCUCUUCUCCCCAUCUUUCAUCUAGUGGUUCUUCUAUUGAUUCUUCUUCUACCAUCCCUUCCCCUAAAUCCUUCUUCAUGUUAAUUGGUUUUCUCAUUUUCCAUUUAAUAUUUCUAUAGGUGCUACAUCAAAUUUGGUAUCAGAGCCAAAACUUAGAUAAUUUCUCAUCUACAAUCCAAAACUUUCCUUUCA
rnacentral:lncRNA from 1 species